rnacentral:rRNA from 1 species
GGCGUAAAGGGCACGCAGGCGGUUUCGUCAGUCCGAUGUGACAGGCCACGGCUCAACCGUGGAAGGCCAUUGGAAACUGCGAAACUUGAGGACAGAAGAGGAGAGUGGAAUUCCACGUGUAGCGGUGAAAUGCGUAGAUAUGUGGAGGAACACCAGUGGCGAAGGCGACUCUCUGGUCUGUACCUGACGCUGAGGUGCGAAAGCAUGGGGAGCAAACAGGAUUAGAUACCCUGGUAGUCCAUGCCGUAAACGCUGAGUGCUAGGUGUUAGGGGUUUCGAUACCCGUAGUGCCGAAGCUAACGCAUUAAGCACUCCGCCUGGGGAGUACGACCGCAAGGUUGAAACUCUAAGGAAUUGACGGGGGCCCGCACAAGCGGUGGAGCAUGUGGUUUAAUUCGACGCAACGCGAAGAACCUUACCAGAUCUUGACAUCUUCCGCUACGCCUCGAGAGAGGCGGUUCCCCUUCGGGGGACGGAAUGACAGGUGGUGCAUGGUUGUCGUCAGCUCGUGUCGUGAGAUGUUGGGUUAAGUCCCGCAACGAGCGCAACCCCUAAUCUUAGUUGCCAGCAUUCAGUUGGGCACUCUAAGGUGACUGCCGGUGACAAACCGGAGGAAGGUGGGGAUGACGUCAAAUCAUCAUGCCCCUUAUGAUCUGGGCUACACACGUGCUACAAUGGAUGGUACAACGGGAUGCGAACCCGCGAGGGGGAGCCAAUCCAGAAAAGCCAUUCUCAGUUCGGAUUGCAGGCUGCAACUCGCCUGCAUGAAGCCGGAAUCGCUAGUAA